rnacentral:lncRNA from 1 species
UUACAGAGUUACACUGAGCAAAGCACAAAAGAGCACGUCCAAAAAUAUAGAUUAAAAAGAAAAAGAUUGUCCCUUUCUUUUCUAUGUUAUAUUAUUCUUUUCAGUCUUCUUCUUAAUCUCUUCUUCAUCACAGAUCAGUGACCUCUUUUUAGGUACAUUCACUUCUAUUUUUUGCUCUUUUUCUACUUUUUGAUGCUAAAUGCAAAAAAAGGUAAUACUCUUUUUUCGUGAAUUAAAUUUAUGAUUGCUGUAUUUUAAAAAUCUCCACUUUUAACUCAGUAUAAAUUUUGUAUUUAAGUGGUCGGUCAACAUUGGUUUUAUCAUUCUAGGAGGUUUUAUAUAAAGAUUAUAUUUUGGAAUGUGGGUAGUGAUGAUUUCUUUAAUUUGUAUUGUUUUCCAGGUUUUAGGUUAUUCACAUUUGGAUUCGUAUUAUAGUUGUUCAAGAGUUUAAGGGCAAGCUAUAGUUUGUGAUACAGCUAAAUAAUUUUGGGGUUUUUCCAAGUUCAAAUUUUGAGUGUGGAGUAAGCUCUUUUUUUUUUAUAAAAUCUUUUGGACAAGUAAAAGAAUCCCACUUUUAACUCACUGUAAAAUGUUUAUUUAAUUGGUAGGUCAACAUUUGUUUUCAUUUUGGAAUGUGGGUUGUGAUUAUUUCUUAAUUUGUUUUUUUUUUGAGUUCGAGUCUCCCCAAGAGCAAAAGUGGGAAGUUGUUGGAGUUAAGGAUGCUGGAGGUCUAUUUGGAAACAGCCUCUCUACCCAAGGGUGGGGUAAGGUGUGCGUACACACUACCCUCCCCAGACCCCACUAAAUGGGAUUAUACUGGAUUGUUGUUGUUGUGCU